UCUAGGGAAAGGGCCUUCUGUUCAUUCAUCCAGCAGUCACGCCCUGGGGGCCCCCUGCUGGCCGGCGCUGGCCUAGGGCUGCAAAGAUGAAAGUCCCUAUCUGUUCAGUCUAGUGGAGGGGAGGGCGACGAAGAAGGAACUGGAAAGGGACAUGCACUGCAGCAGGGGCAAGCCGAUUGUGGGAGCCCGCAGGAAGCACCAGGCAGCUCAUUAGAGGCCCUUCAACCACCAUCAUCUAUGCAGAGCAUGAACCGAACCGUGUCCAGGCACAGAAGUACAGCCUAACAAGACGGAAUUUAGCACUGCAGUGAGACAGUAGGAAAAUAGCUGAACUUCCAAGAAGAGUCUCCUUGCUUUUACCUGGAGUGGCACCACCCUGGACAUCAGGUGAUCAAAAUAAAGGUCCACUGCUUCGGUGAAGCCCUUUCUCCAAAGACCAUGAGAGAAAUCCAGCAAGAGACGCUGGAGGAGCCAGGACAUUCAAGAGAGUUGGAGAGAAAGAACCUCAGCUAGGCCAAGAUGGCAGAGAAGUAGGGGGACCCAUUCUUCCUGCCACUCUCAAACAAAGAAGUGCAGAAGCCAAAGGACUUUGAACACCAGAGCCUGGGAGGAAAAGAGACUGAAUCUACUAGGAAGAAAAUGGGGAAGCUGGAAAGAAGAUAGGUGGGUAACUGCAAACUGGGGGAGAUAAAAAACAGCCACAUGGGCACGGAGCGGAGGCACUCCCUUCAACGGAGAGACAAAGGGAAAAGAAAGAGCAGCUAGGGAAGUGCAGGACCGUAUCUGGACAGGAGAAAGUCCAGGGAUUGAGACAGAGAGGGAUCCGAUCUCUAACUGCAGGGCUUUCUUUGGACUGGAGCUGGCUCCCUGUUGGUGCACCUGGAGAGGAGGGGAGCCUGGGUGUGGUGGUAGGUCAGGGGCUCAGUCCUCAGUUGGAGGAAGUGGUUCCCUCCCUGGAGGGCUAUGUGAUAGUACAGAAUCUGCCUGUGUCUGCCACUCCUGGGCACAGUGGCUGGGCCAAGGGUGCAGUCUGCAGGAGGAAAAGGCUGCCAUCUCUCUGGAGUGCUGUGGGAAAAGACAAAGCCUGCCUGUGUCUGCCACCCCGGGGGCUCGUGGCGAAGGUGGUGGCUCUUGGUCCCCAGUAGGAGAAGGCUGUCCUCCCUGAAGUGCAGGGGCACAGACAAAGCCAGCCAGGACCACAUAUCCGUCACACUGAGAGGCGCUUCCCCAAUGCCAGAGUGCACAGAGCGGGACUUUGAAUCCUAGUCAAGCAUAGGGUCACGGGAGUUGGUGGAGCGAGAAGGACCUCCCCACCUGUGCCCUCGGCACAAUAAGGAUGACUCAAACAGAGUCCAUCGGGUCCAGCUCCGUGGAGAAGAGACUGGGGGAUCACCAUUCCACACACCACCACCACCAAGGUGGGGCCUCAGGGAUCAGUACUGGGGCCCAGAGUGGAGGUGGGUCCAGAUUAUGCCAAACCAUGCCCCUUUGUGCUGGGUAACUGCGUAUCCACCACAGCAGCACAGACCCUGCAGACAACUACUCCCGACAAGCGACGCAGCAUUGCCUGGAUUAACUCUAGGUCAAUUCUGGAUAUAUAGAUAUAUUCUCCA